AAUCAACGCUGGCGGCGUGCCUAACACAUGCAAGUCGAACGCGAAAGCCCCGCAAGGGGUAAGUAGAGUGGCAAACGGGUGAGUAACACGUGGGUGACCUGCCUUCGAGUGGGGGAUAACGUCCCGAAAGGGACGCUAAUACCGCAUGACAUCCUGCUUUUCAAAAAGCGGAGAUCAAAGCUGGGGAUCGCAAGACCUAGCGCUUGAAGAGGGGCCCGCGCCUGAUUAGCUAGUUGGUGAGGUAACGGCUCACCAAGGCGACGAUCAGUAUCCGGCCUGAGAGGGCGGACGGACAAACUGGGACUGAGACACGGCCCAGACUCCUACGGGAGGCAGCAGGGGGGAAUUGUUCGCAAUGGGCGCAAGCCUGAAGACGCAACGCCGCGUGGAGGACGAAGAUCUUCGGGUCGUAAACUCCUGUCGAGCGGGACGAACGCUUCGCGGAUGAAUAAUCCGCGGAAUUGACGGUACCGCUAAAGGAAGCCCCGGCUAACUCCGUG
rnacentral:rRNA from 1 species